rnacentral:rRNA from 1 species
CCUACGGGAGGCAGCAGUGGGGGAUAUUGCACAAUGGGGGAAACCCUGAUGCAGCGACGCCGCGUGGGUGAAGAAGCGCCUCGGCGCGUAAAGCCCUGUCAGCAGGGAAGAAAAUGACGGUACCUGAAGAAGAAGCCCCGGCUAACUACGUGCCAGCAGCCGCGGUAAUACGUAGGGGGCAAGCGUUAUCCGGAUUUACUGGGUGUAAAGGGGGCGAAGACGGCGAUGCAAGCCAGGAGGGAAAGCCCGGGGCCCAACCCCGGGACUGCUCUUGGAACUGCGUGGCUAGAGUGCAGGAGGGGCAUGCGGAAUGCCUGGUGUAACGGUGAAAUGCGUAGAUAUCAGGAGGAACACCGGUGGCGAAGGCGGCCUGCUGGACUGCAACUGACGUUGAGGCCCGAAAGCGUGGGGAGCAAACAGGAUUAGAUACCCCUGUAGUC